UACGUAGGGGCAAGCGUUGUCCGGAUUUAUUGGGCGUAAAGAGCGUGUAGGCGGCUUGGUAGGUCCGCUGUGAAAACUCGAGGCUCAACCUCGAGAUGUCGGCGGAAACCAACUUUGGCUUAGAGUCCGGAAGAGGAGAGUGGAAUUCCUGGUGUAGCGGUGAAAUGCGCAGAUAUCAGGAAGAACACCUAUGGCGAAGGCAGCUCUCUGGGACGGUACUG
rnacentral:rRNA from 1 species